CGCGCGGCAGGAUGGGUGCUGGGCCGCCAAAGCGGUCUUUGUGGGUGUCAUUUCCUGUCCUCCGACCGGCGUGGUCACCCUGCAGGGCAGCAUCAGGUUGGACCGUGGACGCUCUUUAACCUUCUGCAGGUCUCUGGACCAAGAGGAGCCACACCUAAGGACCAGCAUCCGACCUAGUAUAGACCACGAUACCCUGGACUUUAAACCUAGUGCUGAGACCAGAUGAGACCUUGGGGGAUCUUGGGAGGAGACUGCUGCUGCUGCUAAGUCACUUCAGUCCUGUCUGACCCUGUGCGACCCCAUAGAUGUCAGCUCACCAGGCUCCCCCGUCCCUGGGAUUCUCAAGGCAAGAACACUGGAGUGGGUUAACAGACUGCUAGUGACUAUAUAAUAUCCAGCUGAAGACUAGCAGGGGGGUACUCUUUCUGCCCCUUUCUGAUGCCUAUGUCAGAAGC